rnacentral:rRNA from 1 species
UACAGAGGUCCCGAGCGUUGUUCGGAUUCACUGGGCGUAAAGGGUGCGCAGGUGGGUUUGCAAGUUCGAUGUGAAAGCCCCGGGCUUAACCCGGGAAUGGCAUUGAAUACUGCAGAUCUGGAGGAUCGGAGGGGGGACUGGAAUUCUUGGUGUAGCAGUGAAAUGCGUAGAUAUCAAGAGGAACACCAAUAGCGAAGGCAGCUCGCUGGGACGGUACUGACGCUGAGACGCGAAAGCGUGGGGAGCAAACAGG